GAUGAACGCUGGCGGCGUGCCUAAUACAUGCAAGUCGAGCGAACGGACGAGAAGCGUGCUUCUCUGAUGUUAGCGGCGGACGGGUGAGUAACACGUGGAUAACCUACCUAUAAGACUGGGAUAAGUUCGGGAAACCGGAGCUAAUACCGGGUAAUAUUUUGAACCGCAUGGUUCAAAAGUGAAAGACGGUCUUGCUGUCACUUAUAGAUGGAUCCGCGCUGCAUUAGCUAGUUGGUAAGGUAACGGCUUACCAAGGCAACGAUGCAUAGCCGACCUGAGAGGGUGAUCGGCCACACUGGAACUGAGACACGGUCCAGACUACUACGGGAGGCAGCAGUAGGGAAUCUUACGCAAUGGGCGAAAGCCUGACGGAGCAACGCCGCGUGAGUGAUGAAGGUCUUCGGAUCGUAAAACUCUGUUAUUAGGGAAGAACAUAUGUGUAAGUAACUGUGCACAUCUUGACGGUACCUAAUCAGAAAGCCACGGCUAACUACGUG
rnacentral:rRNA from 1 species